GAUGAACGCUGGCGGCGUGCCUAAUACAUGCAAGUCGAGCGAACAGACGAGGAGCUUGCUCCUCUGACGUUAGCGGCGGACGGGUGAGUAACACGUGGAUAACCUACCUAUAAGACUGGGAUAACUUCGGGAAACCGGAGCUAAUACCGGAUAAUAUAUUGAACCGCAUGGUUCAAUAGUGAAAGACGGUUUUGCUGUCACUUAUAGAUGGAUCCGCGCCGCAUUAGCUAGUUGGUAAGGUAACGGCUUACCAAGGCGACGAUGCGUAGCCGACCUGAGAGGGUGAUCGGCCACAAUGGAACUGAGACACGGUCCAGACUACUACGGGAGGCAGCAGUAGGGAAUCUUCCGCAAUGGGCGAAAGCCUGACGGAGCAACGCCGCGUGAGUGAUGAAGGUCUUCGGAUCGUAAAACUCUGUUAUUAGGGAAGAACAAAUGUGUAAGUAACUAUGCACGUCUUGACGGUACCUAAUCAGAAAGCCACGGCUAACUACGUG
rnacentral:rRNA from 1 species